rfam:Ixodes scapularis strain Wikel colony gcontig_1107728854692, whole genome shotgun sequence.
CCCUGGUUAGCUCAGUUGGUAGAGCGCUCCACUGGAAUUGGAGAUGUUCCGGGUUCGAUACUCGGGACAGGCG